UGAAAAGCGUAGUCGAUGGGAAACGGGUUAAUAUUCCCGUACUGGUGGUAACUGCGAUGGGGGAACGGAGAAGGCUAGGUUGUCCGGGCGACGGUCGUCCCGGUUCAAGCAGGUAGGCAGAGUGAUUAGGCAAAUCCGGUCACUUAAUGCUGAGAUGUGAUGACGAACCACCAAGGUGGUGAAGCAAUUGAUGCCCCGCUUCCAGGAAAAGCCUCUAAGCUUCAGGUUACCAACAAUCGUACCCCAAACCGACACAGGUGGUCAGGUAGAGAAUACUCAGGCGCUUGAGAGAACUCGGGUGAAGGAACUAGGCAAAAUGGUGCCGUAACUUCGGGAGAAGGCACGCUGGCGGUAGGUAAAGUCCCUCGCGGACGGCGCUGAAGCCAGUCGAAGAUACCAGCUGGCUGCAACUGUUUAUUAAAAACACAGCACUGUGCAAACACGAAAGUGGACGUAUACGGUGUGACGCCUGCCCGGUGCUGGAAGGUUAAUUGAUGGGGUCAGCCGUAAGGCGAAGCUCCUGAUCGAAGCCCCA
rnacentral:rRNA from 1 species